rnacentral:lncRNA from 1 species
NNNNNNNNNNNNNNNNNNNNNNNNNNNNNNNNNNNNNNNNNNNNNNNNNNNNNGCUCCCCCUCUUUGUGCUCCCUCUCUCUCUCUCCCUGUCAUAUACAUAAAUAAAAUCUAAAAAAAUUAAAAAAGAAAUCUGCUAUCCGGCAAACUUGUUCUUAUUUGAAUAUGUUUCUCAAAUGCCACUUUUGGUCAAAGGUGUUUUUAUGUGACUGAUACUGUAUCUCUUCUCCAACUGUGGUUACCAAAUGGUUUCUAUAUUUGACAUUAUGUUCCAGCUAAUUUCUCUACAUCUCUUUGCUUUAUUAAACACAUUAGUAUAUGAAAAAUGCUAAAAGAAGGGUUUUUUUGCUAGCUCUUUUCAGAUGCUUUGCAGUCAGAAUAGACCACUGGUGGGAUCCAAGCUGUCAAGCAAUCCUAUAUUCCUAAGGUCUCAAAUUGCAGGGAGACAGACACAGCAAGAGAGGGAACACAAGCAAGGGGAGCAGGAGCGGGGGAAGCAGGCUUCCCAUGGAGCAGGGAGCCCGACGUGGGGCUCCAUCCCAGGACCGGGGAUCAUGACCUGAGCUGAAGGCAGAUGCUUAAUGACUGAGCCACCCAGGUGCCCCAAGCCUGUAUAUUUUCAUGACUUUAACUCAUAACCAGCUGCUUAUUUAGUAUCUCUUCCAAACGACUGAGCAAGCUCUGCAGGAUAGGGCAUGUGCCUUGUAGCCAGUGCCCAGGACAUAACAGGAGCUUGCAGCUAUUUAACACUUAGAUUCUAAGUUCUGUAUGCAUGUCUUUUUUCCCCUCUUCAUUUUCUUUCUGUUCCCUUCAUCUCUUUUUCUGUCCAUUAAGAGGUCACUAUAUUUAUUAUCUAUUCCAUUAUCCAAUAAAAAAAUUCAUGUCCCAUACUGUUAAUUUAAAAGUAAAUACAUGGAAUAAAUAUUACUUCUCAAUUUCUAAAACCUACCUCAUUAAAUAAAAUAGAUUUAAAUAUUAUAUGAGCUCCAUUUGAUUUUUCUACCCAGCUCUAAGUAUUAUUCAGAGACAAACAUUUUCUCAGCUCUAGAUAAAAGACAUAAUUUUUUUUAAUAGCUCUACACCCAACAUGGGGCUUGAAAUUAUGUCCCCGAGAUCAAAAGUUUUAUGAUGUUCUUCCACCUGAGCCAGCCAGGCACCCCCAAAGACAUAAUUCUUAUCAACUAAUGGAAUUAUCUGUUGAAGGAGUUUGAAUCUAAAUUAUUUAAAUAAAUUAAACAUAAUUUUUAGUUUUAGUGAUAGAAAAAUGUUUAUAAACACUACAUGUCCUUAUUCAUAUUUUUAGCCUAGAAAACUCCUUUUUCAGAGCAAAGGUACUCUGUCAAGGGGCACCUGGGUGGCUCAGUGGGUUAAGCCUCUGUCUUCAGCUCAGGUCAUGAUCUC